UUCUUCGCAUUUUGUAACUGCUGACUAUGAAAGAGGCCUCAGGUCAGAACUGCUUAAGUUGCCUCCGCAGUAUUCUGCCAUGAAGCUGCUACCUACAUCAGUCCCAUCCAGAAACCUGACUCGUCCUCCAAGAGUCACAACACCAAGGAGUGGUGCUGCUACACAGAGGUGGAGAGGAAGAUGAGUCAAGGCAGGUGCAAGAAGAAGGAGAACAAGCAGCUCCCAAAGACUCAUCACUCCAAGCAGAAGAAUGCCUGCAUUCAGAUGCAUCUGUACAGACGAAGUGUGAGCCUUCAAAGUGUACCAGAUGCCCAGCACUUGAGGCUGAACUGGCAAGCCUGAAGAGCAAACUGGCAGAGGCCGAGGACGUCCCUGUCCCAUGCCGAGGACGUCCCUGUCCAGGCACUGUGGACGCGG